UUGAGAAAGAGGAUGCCAUUAAAAUCUAUUAUUUGAAAAAAUGGAUACUUUUAAGAGGCAGUCUCUGUAAAAGCGGGCCACUGCAUUUCGGGUCAGAAAAUAGUUUUCCCUCAAACUUUUACCAUAGAAAGGUGACCUUGAACGUAUUUUUAAGGUGAGAAGACGUAGACACAACAUACGUCUUGAAAGGGUCUGGAAUGCCUUUUUAAAACUGAGUUUGUUUAGUCAACUCGGUGAGGAAUGUUUAGUCUUCGCGUCCCGGUACGUGAUGCUCAAGACAUGGUUAGUUUUACGUUUGCUGCACACGCGUGAGAGGUGCAUUGAACCUGAAGAAGUGGUUUACAGCUGAUGAAGCAUGAUAACAGCCGUGUUUAUUCAAAGCCGACAAGUAGACAUCCGCGUUUCUAAAACCAAAAAAAUGUCGUUUAAAACACUGUUCAAGCAAAUAAAGCAAGAACAUUCUAGGGAAACAAAUGAAAAUGUGAAUAAUAUAAAAAUAAUCCAAACUGGUAAAUUUACUAUACUUGGCCUUCAUGCCCUAACAGCAUAUAAAAGACGUAACACAUGAGUUAGUAAUUCUCUUGUCAUUUGUGACUUAAUAGCUCUUAAUAGUUUAAAUGUUCAGCAUGCAUCAAAGAUUGUUGUUAUGUGCUAUCCACAGCUUAAUUGUUGAAGUAUAGUUAGCUAAGUGAAUUGGUAAAUAAAAAAUAGUUUCUUUAUAAAUAGAUGAUGUUAAGAGAGCUGCGAGUGUCUUUGACUACGUUUAAUAAGUUCCUGUCUGAGACGCAAUUAAAAACCAAAUUAUAAUAA